ensembl:lncRNA
GUAUCACUGUGUAUGGUUCUCCUCUAAUCAGUGUAUGAAUGGGUGUGAAUGGGUGAAUGAUGUCAUGUAGGGUUAAAGCGCUUUGAGUGGUCAGAAGACUAGAAAAGUGCUAUACAAGUACAGUCCAUUUACCAUUUACCAUUACUUUCAUCUGCCCCGGAAUCCACCAGAGCUCGCAUUGGGAUGGAUCUACCUUCCCAAGCAAGGGAUGCUUCGAUCUGCAUGCAGGACUGACAGGCUAAUGGGGAUGUGGAUGUAUGGCUCAUCAUGGGAGGUGGAAGCCUGCUCACAGCUAAUUCACUCCCUACGGCGCUCGCGAAGACGGUUGUCUAAUCAAAUGGACAAGGAGAUAAGGGAGUCCAGGCUGUCUGUCUCGUCCCUAGAAGCCAUCUCAUCUCUUAUGUUAUCCACUAACCCGUAAGAAAAAACGCCCUGUAGGGAGUCGUCGUCCCACCCGCACUCUGCAGCUAGAAUUCUAAAAUCUACGGCAUUCAGCUACAGACCUAGAGCCCUGACAGAGGGAGAGUAAGCUAUAGGCUGCCUCUCUGCCCUGCACCGGGUAGUCAAAAUUGAGUAAGAUCAUCCCCUAACGCUGUUGCCCACUGAGCUGCCUUGCCUGUAAGUAACCCCAUGAUAAACCCGAUGUGCGACCUAUCUGAGAUGUAGGUGGCAGGUUGUUGCUGAAAAACCAGGGAACAGGAAUCUUCCACAUGCUCCCAGAUCCCCUGAAUAGCGCUCCGGGGUAGGGAUGUAUGGUUCACAGGUGUGCGGGGCUAGGGCGUCAGACACCAGGGGAGAGGAGGCAGGUAGAGCCGGGUCCGACAGCGGGGAAGCACCUGCGGCAGAAGAGGCAAAGAGGUGCGUGGUCACUUGAUCCAUUUGUCCACUCGCUGGAGGAAAGAGACCACAGAGUAUCCGUUAUCACCCGGAGGUCCUAUGAUGAUGGCCCACCCUAGCGCCCUAGGAACCUAGCGCUUGGCGGAGAGAAUUGGUGUCUGCUGGGUCCAUGUUGGCAAGAUUAUUCUGUUGGUGGUGAUUGUCCGUAGGUGUGGAGGUGCGCCAAGCGUGGUGAGGCCGCCGCUCAGUUACACACACACACACACACACAGAAAAGGGGAGGAGACAUAGCCGUAUCUGGAUCCACCGCAUAGCCGUGACACAGGAGUGGAGAAAGAGCCAGUUCAAGGGAGAGCUGAUAGAACAGAGGAGGCCAGAGAGGAGGGAGAGAGGGAGUGAAUGUUCCGACGAACAGGUACAGGGUCAGUUGAUGGGGUGGGGUCGUUGGUUAUAGAGAGUUCGAGAGAGUAGAAGAUGAAGAAGUGGUCAGAGACAUGAAGUGGAGUUACAGUGAAGUAAGUGGUAGAGCAGUUUAUAGUGAUGUAGUGAAGGUGAUUGCCGGCUUUGUGAGUAGGAGAAGACUGAGUGACAGAGUGAAACAAGAAAGUAGGAGUCAGAGGUCAGACUUAACUGUCGCCAAAUGGUAAAUGGGUGAGACUGUAAGGGUUUGGAUUGAUGCAAAUAUGAAAAUGAAGUGAAUGCUGGUACUAUAUCCUCAUCAGUGGACACGGUGACACAGCAGUCUGGACGUUUAGGUAAGUAUUGCACUGGGAUUCAUGAAUUAUGGCUAUUUUCUAAUGUAGAAACGACGCAUGGCCGUUACUGCAUUGACUCAUUGGUAUCAAUUAGUUCCAAUUGGAGGCAGCUGUACAUAAGGAGCACAAGGACUUAAGAGGGGGAUUGGUAGAGCAGCAGGAGGUGUUUUUUGUGAAUGUGAUUUAGGUAACAAAUAAAGACAACAGUGAAACAGAUCUCUGACUUAAGGCCUAAUUUUUUUUGCAUUUGCCAAUGUCUGCUUGGGGGCAUCGUAACAAGUGGCGUCAUAAGUGGGAUGUGUGACGAAGUUGGGAGUUGGUAUGUCUAGAGCAAGGAGGAAUGACCAGCAGCAUGAGCCAGAUGAGGCUGCAUGUUCCUUGGUUGACCAAAGGGCUGCAGCAGCCAGCAACCAAGAAAAUAAGUUGGAAUAACUGGCAAGUAUGAUAAAGGAUCUCACCUGGUCACAACCAGCUACAGACCAGCAGGAGGUGUUUUUUGUGAAUGUGAUUUAGGUAACAUAAAAACAGUGAAACAGAUCUGACUGAAGGCCUAAUUUUUUUUGCAUUUGCCAAUGUCUGCUUGGGGGUAUCGUAACAAGUGGCGUCAUAAGUGGGAUGUGCGUCGAAGUUGGGAGUUGGUAUGUCUAGAGCAAGGAGGAAUGACCAGCAGCAUGAGCCAGAUAAGGCUGCAUGUUCCUUGUGUCAAGGAUGGGUGCAGGAGGCAGGACUCAAACGCAGACUUCUCAGAAAGCAAAAGACUUUAAUAGUCAAAAGGAAAAAUCAAAAGGCCAAGGGGCAAAAACACACAGGAACCAGGGGAAAAACCGCAGGCAGGAAACGAACAUCCACGACAAUAGACAAUGACGCAACAAGUGACACAAGAGACACACAGCUUAAAUACACAAGGGGGGUGCAGGUGAUUGGACACAGGUGGAAACUAUUAGACAAUCACAGGGGAUGACAGGACAAGGCAGGAAGUGAAGUUUCCCAGGGACACGAGUGGCAGAAAACUACAAAAUAAGACAGGAAGUGAACCACACCGUGACACCUUGGUUGACCAGAGAGCUGCAGCAGCGAGCAACCAAGUAAAUAAGUUGGAAGAACUGGCAAGUAUGAUAAAGGAUUUCACCUGGUCCCAACCAGCUACAGACCAGCAGUUAGAGAGAUACUUUUCAGGUGAAGAGCAAAAAUGGAGGAGUAUGCAUCAUCAACAGAUGCAGAAAUAUGAUUACAAUUUUGAGCAGUUCCUGAGAUUGCUGCACCAAGAUCUUGAGAGAAGAGGAACUCGAAAGACAACCUUUGGCCAAGACACUAAAUUUUUCCCAGAGAAGUAAGUCCAUUGGGUGUGAGCGGGGCUCUGGUCAGGCUCAAGGCAGAGUUUUUCCCAGCAGUAGGCAGUUUCCAUAUAAUGAUGCAAGCAAGACUGACCCUGAUAAAAGGUGUGUGCGUGUAAACACACUGCUCAAUUUCAUAUUAAUCCAAGCUAGUUUCUGGCUCACCAAUCGAUGGAUUAUUUGUACAUAAAACCCAUCGAACGCUUUCCUUGUGAAGACAUCAAUCACAGCGUUGUAAAACUCAUGGGAUCUGUAAUAUCGGUGGAUACCGCUGCAGUCAUUUUGAAUUUACCGAGGAUUACGCUUACAGUGAUUGCAGCUGCAAAAAUGUCUAGUAAUAUUGAUUUUUAAUUUUGAGAUCUUAGACGUUACAAUCUCAACGAGAGAUCUUAAGAAAUUAUUUCUUAGACGUUAAGAACUCAUUUUUACCGGCUCAAAAGUGGAUGACACAUCAAAUUGCCAAAAAAGGAUAAUUUGUUGAUAAACGUAUCAGGUUGUAACAUAAGGUAGAAAGAGACAAUAUUAAGAUUCUCAUAAUAAUUAAUGAACUGGUCAGCAAAAUUUGGUCCGCGCGAAGACGGGAUUUCAACGUAUUUAAUAUUUCACUUAAAAUGUCAAAUAUGGAGAUACAGACUGUGUGCUGUUAAUAAGAUGCUUUUAAGACAUAGUAGUGCGGACAGUUUAAAACAUUUCUGUUAAACACAUAACUCUGCCCACAUCUGUAACGCACAUGCGUGAGUUCUGAGACGCUUGCAGAGCUUCGACCGGGUGCAGUGGAGGUAAAGCUAAUGAUGCAAGCAGGAAGUUCCCCCAUUAGCCAGACCGCCCCAUUUCAGAGACCGCUGGGUUCAGCCUAUGCGGUUGUUGGAAGACCCAGCCCAGAUCUACCGCGACGGUCCUACAAGAAGGCAGCCUUAGCAAUUGAGACACAGCACCUGUCACCUACCUUGCCUGUCCCUGUCCUUCCCACUUUGCCUGAUUCCGGGUAAUCCUAUUUAUAUUCUGAUACUGUCCUCUCCAAUAGACUGCCUGCCAAAACUUUGCUAAUAAAAACCAACGAUUCCUGCAUCUGUAUGUAUGCUUUUUGCUUUCAAGCCCAUAAACAGUUGGUUACAUUGUUGGAGAGUUAGCUUGGCUUAACCAAGAGAUUACAGUAACUAAAGUACUCUACUGGUAUUGGUUUCUAAAAUAUUACCCACCUAAUAGUGCUAGUUGAUUAAUUUUCUUAAUCUGUGCUGGCAUGGUUAAUGGGUUAAUUUAUUUCUUAUUUUACAAAACUGUGCUUGCACAAUGUACGUAUUACACACCGUCUGUAGGUAUGCAUACUGAAUAGAAAAAGAUAAAAACAAAACAAUAUACAUAUCUAAACCAAGGCAUAUAAAAUGAAUGAGGGAAGUUUUCAUGUACAUUACAUGUCAUUUAGCUGAUACUUCUGGGUAUCGUGUUGGACGGCAGCAGGGUGAACAUUCUGUUGCUUCAGUGGGUUUUGUAUUUCAAUAUCCUUCAAGCGCUGAAGAACAACCUCACUUCACUAUUAUGACUCUUUAUUCAUGGGUACCAAUAGUGUUCUAAGAGUUUUGGACCAUGCAGACGGAUGGAUUGAUUUGAUCAAUUUUCAAAUCAAGCAAGUGAUCGAUAUCCAAAAGAAGACCUGAUAUUUUCUCCUCACAGUCAGGUCAAAUCUGUUGCAGCCAGUGCAACCAGCUGUUUGGAGAGCUGAGGACCUGCAAUAUGGCCAUCAGACAGUAUGUGUCACACAAAAAAAACUUUAUUCACUGCGAACCUUUCCACAUCCCACCCAAGCCAGCUCAGACAGGCCAGCCUAUGUUCCCCCUCUACUUAUGCCCUUACAUGAUUAUACCACAUUAUUAUCCCUGCAGUACCCUCUGUGUGUCCCGCCAUGCUAAUCUCUGUUGAAAUGUGCUCACCUGUAAUUAACCCUUCUGUUUAUUGUCCUACAUCAUUACACACAGCCUGCUUAGAGCUGCUUCUGGUUCAAAGUAUGGUUGUCCCAGUAAACACCUGUCCAGGUGAGUUGGAAAUCAGCGCAGUGUCUGAGGUCUGGAAUCAGCAUUAAAACAUUUUGCUGUGCCAUCUUUUCAUCUGUUUUGCACUAGAGGGACGUGUUGCCAUAUUGUAACAGUAUUCCCAACUUGAUCUGGAAUUCAUCCUGCUAAAGGAUAUAGAUACCUCACAAAACCUUUGACGGAGAUCAUAUGCUUCAGUUACUGCUUUAAUUCUGAUUCUGGAUUCGAUUGUAAACGUCAUAUUCAUUUUCAGUGAAGCAUAACUGGUCCACUGUUAAAACUGCCGCAAUGGACAUAUUCAUUAUUUAUAUUCCUAUUUGUUCAUACCACAACUUUUACAACAUUAAAACUUUAAAGUCUGCCUUUUGAAAUGUGGUUUAGUGUUUUCAUGCAGUGUUUGAGUUUUAAGCUAUAACAUUAAUGUGUUAUGAGCCUGGUAUAUCCAGUUAAGAAUUUGAUGUGUUUUUUGGGGUCACAUUUUACAACUAGCCAGGACAGACCACAGUGGGAAAAAAGCUUGUGUUUGUGGCCAUUUAAUUUGCAGUUGUGUGGGAAACAAAAUGUUGGUAAUGCAUCUCUAAUACAGUGGCAAAUAAAUGUACAUUAUACACUGCUGAAAAUAGAAUAAACACAUUAAUAGGCACUACCAAUCAACAACUAGUUUAAUCAUGUCUUAAACUUGUCACAAACAUCCCCCCUAGACCUAGAGGUUGAACUGAUUUAAUUUUGGUGGUCAUAGCUCCCAGUUAAAGGUCACUAUGACCUGAAGUCUGUCCAAUUCUAGUAAAUACGACGUUUCAGGAAUGUCUUCAGCGGAUUCCUUCUGAUUUGACAGCUACUUGGCUACUUGGCCCAGCUACUUGGCCUAAUGGUUUAGCUGAUUUGGUUGUCAAAGGUCACUAAAUCCACUUAACUAUUAAGACUCCAUAACUUUGGAAAAAUUCAAAAACCAGUAAUGAUCUAAAGAUAACAUGAUGAAGUGAUGACGUUUUGGACUUACGAUGAGCUUCUAUUCAUUUAUUGAACAUUUU